rnacentral:rRNA from 1 species
GGAACUGCAUUUGAAACUGGUUGACUAGAGUUUUGUAGAGGGUGGUAGAAUUUCAGGUGUAGCGGUGAAAUGCGUAGAGAUCUGAAGGAAUACCAGUGGCGAAGGCGGCCACCUGGACAAAGACUGACACUGAGGCGCGAAGGCGUGGGGAGCAAACGGGAUUAGAUACCCCGGUAGUCCACGCAGUAAACGAUGUCUAUUAGAAGUUUGUGGCUAUAUGCCGUGGGUUUCAAAGCUAACGCAUUAAAUAGACCGCCUGGGGAGUACGGCCGCAAGGUUAAAACUCAAAUGAAUUGACGGGGGCCCGCACAAGCGGUGGAGCAUGUGGUUUAAUUCGAUGCAACGCGAAGAACCUUACCAUCCCUUGACAUCCAGAGAAUCACCUAGAGAUAGAUGAGUGCCUUCGGGAACUCUGAGACAGGUGCUGCAUGGCUGUCGUCAGCUCGUGUUGUGAAAUGUUGGGUUAAGUCCCGCAACGAGCGCAACCCUUAUCCUUAGUUGCCAGCACGUAAUGGUGGGAACUCUAGGGAGACUGCCGGUGAUAAACCGGAGGAAGGUGGGGACGACGUCAAGUCAUCAUGGCCCUUACGGGAUGGGCUACACACGUGCUACAAUGGCAAAUACAAAGGGUUGCUAACCUGCGAGGGUAUGCGAAUCUCAUAAAGUCUGUCGUAGUCCGGAUCGGAGUCUGCAACUCGACUCCGUGAAGUUGGAAUCGCUAGUAAUCGUGGAUCAGAAUGCCACGGUGAAUACGUUCCCGGGCCUUGUACACACCGCCCGUCACACCAUGGGAGUGGGCUGCACCAGAAGUCAUUAGCUUAACCUUCGGGAUGGCGAUGACCACGGUGUGGUUCAUGACUGGGGUGAA